GUGAUAAUACGAUCAGUUCAUGUCAAUUGAAACAGAGGAGGUGAGGAAAAAAUGGAAAUGUGGUGGAUGAGAUGCGCCUUUUUUUU
rnacentral:snRNA from 1 species